rnacentral:misc_RNA from 1 species
AAGUCGUAACAAGGUUUCCGUAGGUGAACCUGCGGAAGGAUCAUUAACAAUAAUGAAUGGCUGUAAAGCCAAUUUUCUCGUGUUGGGGAGGUCGUGUUCUAUGGGAGAAGGAUAUCAAGGCGGAUCCGUCCGUCCCGGAUCCCUUACACGGCCGACCCUUAUAGCACAAUUUUCUCACAUUCUUUAUUAGACUUACUCGCGCUGAGUAGUCGCCCUAAAGAAACCAAAACAACUUUUAACAAUGGAUCUCUUGGCUCUU